rnacentral:rRNA from 1 species
CCUACGGGAGGCAGCAGUGGGGAAUAUUGGACAAUGGGCGAAAGCCUGAUCCAGCCAUGCCGCGUGUGUGAAGAAGGCCUUCGGGUUGUAAAGCACUUUCAGUGGGGAAGAAAGCCUUGGGGCUAAUACCCUCGAGGAAGGACAUCACCCACAGAAGAAGCACCGGCUAACUCCGUGCCAGCAGCCGCGGUAAUACGGAGGGUGCGAGCGUUAAUCGGAAUUACUGGGCGUAAAGCGCGCGUAGGCGGUCUGAUAAGCCGGUUGUGAAAGCCCCGGGCUCAACCUGGGAACGGCAUCCGGAACUGUCAGGCUAGAGUGCAGGAGAGGAAGGUAGAAUUCCCGGUGUAGCGGUGAAAUGCGUAGAGAUCGGGAGGAAUACCAGUGGCGAAGGUGGCCUUCUGGACUGACACUGACGCUGAGGUGCGAAAGCGUGGGUAGCAAACAGGAUUAGAUACCCCUGUAGUC